rnacentral:rRNA from 1 species
UACGUAGGGUCCGAGCGUUGUCCGGAAUUAUUGGGCGUAAAGGGCUCGUAGGCGGUCUGUCGCGUCGGGAGUGAAAACUUACAGCUUAACUGUGAGCGUGCUUCCGAUACGGGCAGACUUGAGGUAUUCAGGGGAGAACGGAAUUCCUGGUGUAGCGGUGAAAUGCGCAGAUAUCAGGAGGAACACCGGUGGCGAAGGCGGUUCUCUGGGAAUAUCCUGACGCUGAGGAGCGAAAGUGUGGGGAGCGAACAGG